CGAACGGCAGCACAGAGGAGCUUGCUCCUUGGGUGGCGAGUGGCGGACGGGUGAGGAAUACAUCGGAAUCUACUUUUUCGUGGGGGAUAACGUAGGGAAACUUACGCUAAUACCGCAUACGACCUACGGGUGAAAGCAGGGGACCUUCGGGCCUUGCGCGAUUGAAUGAGCCGAUGUCGGAUUAGCUAGUUGGCGGGGUAAAGGCCCACCAAGGCGACGAUCCGUAGCUGGUCUGAGAGGAUGAUCAGCCACACUGGAACUGAGACACGGUCCAGACUCCUACGGGAGGCAGCAGUGGGGAAUAUUGGACAAUGGGCGCAAGCCUGAUCCAGCCAUACCGCGUGGGUGAAGAAGGCCUUCGGGUUGUAAAGCCCUUUUGUUGGGAAAGAAAUCCAGCUGGCUAAUACCCGGUUGGGAUGACGGUACCCAAAGAAUAAGCACCGGCUAACUUCGUGCCAGCAGCCGCGGUAAUACGAAGGGUGCAAGCGUUACUCGGAAUUACUGGGCGUAAAGCGUGCGUAGGUGGUCGUUUAAGUCCGUUGUGAAAGCCCUGGGCUCAACCUGGGAACUGCAGUGGAUACUGGGCGACUAGAAUGUGGUAGAGGGUAGCGGAAUUCCUGGUGUAGCAGUGAAAUGCGUAGAGAUCAGGAGGAACAUCCAUGGCGAAGGCAGCUACCUGGACCAACAUUGACACUGAGGCACGAAAGCGUGG
rnacentral:rRNA from 1 species